GCAGGUGGGAAGCGGGGGCUGAACCCAGGUCCUUGGGCAUGAUGAUGUGUACUCCACCAGGUGCCCCUCUGCCCUCACACACCAGGUGAUAGGCUGGCUUGUCAAGAAGAGAAUCCUGUCAUAUAACAAAUGCUUCAAGAAAUCAAAUAGAAGCAUCUUGUCCUGUCCGUGGAGGUUGAGACAAUGUCAUGAUUGGAUACAAUGUUUUGGAAAUAGUACAAAUUUAAUCUGUG